rnacentral:rRNA from 1 species
UGAGGAAUAUUGCACAAUGGGCGCAAGCCUGAUGCAGCCAUGCCGCGUGUAUGAAGAAGGCCUUCGGGUUGUAAAGUACUUUCAGCGGGGAGGAAGGCGAUAAGGUUAAUAACCUUGUCGAUUGACGUUACCCGCAGAAGAAGCACCGGCUAACUCCGUGCCAGCAGCCGCGGUAAUACGGAGGGUGCAAGCGUUAAUCGGAAUUACUGGGCGUAAAGCGCACGCAGGCGGUCUGUCAAGUCGGAUGUGAAAUCCCCGGGCUCAACCUGGGAACUGCAUUCGAAACUGGCAGGCUAGAGUCUUGUAGAGGGGGGUAGAAUUCCAGGUGUAGCGGUGAAAUGCGUAGAGAUCUGGAGGAAUACCGGUGGCGAAGGCGGCCCCCUGGACAAAGACUGACGCUCAGGUGCGAAAGCGUGGGGAGCAAACA